rnacentral:misc_RNA from 1 species
GAUGAAGAACGUAGCGAAAUGCGAUAAGUAAUGUGAAUUGCAGAAUUCAGUGAAUCAUCGAAUCUUUGAACGCAUCUUGCGCUCCUUGGUAUUCUGAGGAGCAUGCCUGUUUGAGUGUCAUUAAAUUCUCAACUACACUGACUUUGAAUUGGUGUGGCUUGGAUUUGGGGGGAAAAUUGUUGUGGGCUUUUUGUAUAGUCUGCUCCCCUGAAAUUGAUUAGCGGUACCUUUGUGGAACUGUCUACAGGUGUGAUAAUUAUCUACAUCUUAGACAUCUGCUGGAAUGCUGCUUUCUAAACCUUACUUGUAUUGACAAUCUUGACCUCAAAUCAGGUAGGACUACCCGCUAAACUUAAGCAUAUCAAUAAGCGGAGGA